UGCCAGCCGCCGCGGUAAUACGGAGGGGGCAAGCGUUGUUCGGAAUUACUGGGCGUAAAGGGCGUGUAGGCGGCGGUUUUAGUCAGGCGUGAAAGCCCGGGGCUCAACCCCGGAAGUGCAUUGGAAACUGGCGAACUUGAGUACGGGAGAGGAAAGUGGAAUUCCGAGUGUAGGGGUGAAAUCCGUAGAUAUUCGGAGGAACACCAGUGGCGAAGGCGGCUUUCUGGACCGAUACUGACGCUGAGACGCGAAAGCGUGGGGAGCAAACAGGAUUAGAUA
rnacentral:rRNA from 1 species